rnacentral:misc_RNA from 1 species
CACACCCCAAGCUUGGCUUGAUGUUGGACGAGGCGGGAGACCGCCCGUCUGGAACGCGUGGGCGCCGGCCGCCGGACCGCGAGCGUAGCAAGACGCAAGUCAGUCGCUCUGUGGGCUCCGAUGGACGGUCGUCGAAAAUAAUUUCCACGAUAUAAC